UGUUGACAUGGAGAAAACCUUUGACAGGGUCCCUCACUUCCUAAUCUGGUGGUUGAUGCAGAAGCUAGGGUUAGAUGAGUGGUUGGUGAGAGCUGUCCAACCCAUGU